GCCCGGCCGUCAACAAAGACAGUAUAAGACACAAUACUGUUCGCCAGAGAACUACAAGCUAAAGCUAAAAACUCCAAGGACUUGGCGGUGCUCCACAUCACCCUAGAGGAGCCUGUCCUAUAAUCGAUACCCCACGAUCUACCUCACCAUUUUUUGAAACUCAGCCUAUAUACCGCCGUCGUCAGCCUACCUUAUGAAAGAAGCACAGUAAGCGAAAUAGUCACCAACUAAAACGUCAGGUCAAGGUGUAGCACAUAAAAUGGAAGAGAUGGGCUACACUCUCUCCCCCAGAGAACACGAACAGCAUCAAUGAAACACUGCUCAAAGGUGGAUUUAGUAGUAAGAUAAACAAGAGAACUUAUCUUAAACCAGCCCUGGAGCGCGC
rnacentral:rRNA from 1 species